rnacentral:rRNA from 1 species
CCUACGGGAGGCAGCAGUGGGGAAUAUUGCGCAAUGGGGGCAACCCUGACGCAGCAACGCCGCGUGAUUGAAGAAGGCCUUCGGGUUGUAAAGAUCUUUAAUCGGGGACGAAUUUUGACGGUACCCGAAGAAUAAGCUCCGGCUAACUACGUGCCAGCAGCCGCGGGAAGACGGAGGGAGCCAGCGUUAUCCGGAUUUACUGGGUCUAAAGGGCGUGUAGGCGGGCAUGCAAGCCAACAGUGAAAUCUUGGGGCUUAACCCCCAAACUGCUUUUGGAACUGCGUGUCUUGAGUGAUGGAGAGGCAGGCGGAAUUCCCAGUGUAGCGGUGAAAUGCGUAGAUAGUGGGAGGAACACCAGUGGCGAAGGCGGCCUGCUGGACCUUCCCUGACGCUGCGGCGCGAAAGCGUGGGGAGCAAACAGGAUUAGAUACCCCUGUAGUC